rnacentral:piRNA from 1 species
UGGCACAAUGUAUCCUGACAGUCACAGC